rnacentral:rRNA from 1 species
GACGAACGCUGGCGGCGUGCUUAACACAUGCAAGUCGAACGGAAAGGCCUGCUUUCCCUUGUGGAUUGCGGGUACUCGAGUGGCGAACGGGUGAGUAACACGUGAGUGAUCUGCCCCCAACUUGGUUAUAAGCUGGGGAAACUGGACCUAAUCCCCGACCGGCCGGCAGGUGGUGGCCGGUGUUGGAAACGGAUUUUUUAGUGGUUGGGGAUGAGCUCCCGGCUUAUCGGUUGGUUGGGGGGGUAAUGGCCUACCAAGGCGGGGACGGGUAGCCGGCCUGAGAGGGUGGACGGCCACAGUGGGACUGAGAUACGGCCCAGACUCCUACGGGAGGCAGCAGUGGGGAAUAUUGCACAAUGGGCGGAAGCCUGAUGCAGCGACGCCGCGUGGGGGAUGACGGCCUUCGGGUUGUAAACUCCUUUCGACCGCGAGGAAGCCACCUGGUUGGAAGGGUGGUGACGGUAGUGGUAGAAGAAGCACCGGCUAACUACGUG